ACAUUGUAGGUUUUCACAAUAAUUAAUAUUAUAAAUUAAUAUAUUUUCGUUUUGCUUUUGAGCGAACUGAUAAAAAUUCGAUAAAAUCCGAAUAUUUCCGAAACAACAAGCAGAUAUCCGCCUCGGAACCUGCAAUAAGCAUUGAUUCAUUUUUCGCAUCGGAAAUCAGCAUAGCAAGUGUUCGUUGUAGUGAUUUAUUCCACGAAGGGGAGCAGCUCCACGCUGCAGAUUGCAAUCAACUUUAAAUGUGUCGUCACUACAAGAUGUGAGAGAAGUUGGCCAAGCUGAACCAUCCAAGCGUAGCGUCCCGAAGGUGUGUAUGGAGUAUUUCAGGACAUAUGACACCGCGUUCGAAAGGAUUGUUUUAUUGUUUUUUUUUUGAAUAGUUUGACCGCAUCUCAGCUUAGCAACUGCCACAGCAUUGGAGAUGGGACGGGGAGCUGCUUAACGUUGGUGUUUCUUAGUGAAAAAAUGUUCCGCUUCUCGCUCCCGACCAUGUCACAACUGAUGUCGUGUUAUUCAUUAGUCUUGCGGGAAGCGCUGCCGAAGCCUUUAGCGCAAGAACUGCCUAUCCGCUGGCACGAAAUCUGCGACUAGUGUUUACACUCAUCUUACCGAUUCCGAAGCUGUGUCUUGCUAGCAAUAAGAUUCAUCGAGGCGCAGAUCGAUAUCCAACAGCUGGAGGUGCUGCUAAUUAUAAAUCUAUGGCCUGCGUAACACAAUAGCGUCGUUGCCGGUCUGCGCAUUUGCUCCGAAACUUUAGGCAUUGGCACGACUUGAUUCAUCUAUAAUAGGCAAUAGAAAAGGUGCCACAAACCCAUAAAGCUGUUUAAGUGCAACUCUCUACUGCUGCUGAGUGCGAUAUUUCGCGGAACACACAAGUAGCCUUGUUCAUGGGAAUCGGUCUGGUCUAGUAUCAAGGUACCGCCGGACAGCACAUAGCAGGAGUGCUAUUGCAGGGAAUAAUGCGCCACCCGGAACCAGAAGUAGAACAUUCCAACGAACAUUAGCAUUUUGUGUAUUUGGUUGGCAAAGCAACUGAUAACGGAAAAAAAUUUAGCAGGCUGUGUAACCGAAAAGUCUGUAUGAUGUCGGAUGGAUAAUUGAAUGUCAGCAGCAGUUAUUAUAUACACGGGACUACUUCUUUGACGGGAGCGACCGCACCGCAAGCGAAAAAUAUAAUAAAACUUUGCCACGCCACGAUGUCCCGACCGAAGUCCGAGAUAAUUGCGUGCGUACCUACAUUAACAAACUGCAAAUGGGACAGCCAAGUUCAGUCAAUGUGAGUACCGCGGGCCAAGUGAUCGAAGGUUUUCUGUUUUCUUGGAUUAUCGGAAGCGAUCACAGCAAGCAUACUGCUUGUUUUUAACUGAAAUUCCAACCGAUAGCAGCGAUAACCUCUAUGAUCCGUCCCUUAAUGUGUUGGAAUUUGAGCCGCGAUGUCGAUAGUGGCAAAUUAUGGCUGCCAAUAUCUAUAACAAGGCGAACUUGUUGCCGGCGUAGGUGAAAGUCUAUUUGGACGAGGAAGACUGCCCAAGCUAGGUCAAGUUUAGCUGUACACGGCCUGAAAGCUCCCUAACUAGAAGUGCGCAGAGGAUUUCGGCAACAUUGGAAAAUAAUA